AUUGGCAUGGUGAUGGGCAUCAUUGUUGGGGUGCUGGUCCUCCUCGGAGCUGUGGUGGCUGGAGCUGUGCUGUGGAGGAGGAGGCGCUCAGGUGGAAAAGGAGGGAGCUAUGCUCAGGCUGCAAGUGGUGACAGUGCCCAGGGCUCUGAUGUGUCUCUCACGGCUUCUAAAGCGUGAGACAGCUGCCUUGUGGGGGACUGAGUGAUGCAAGAUGUGUUCAUACCCCCACUUUGUGACUUCAGGAACCUCUGACCUCUCUUUCUGCAAAGGGCAUCUGAAUGUGUCUGCGUUCCUCUCAGCAUCCUGUGAGGAGGGGGGAGACUGCCCGCCCCCUGCCCUCCACGCCCCCUCCCUGCACUGACAGAGUCUCUUCCCUGACCCACUGUCCUGUUCCAGCAGAGGCUGUUUUAUCCCGCUUUUACUUCAUGUUACUCUGAAUGGUAAUUAAUUACUUCCUUUUGAAAUAAGAAUCUGGAUGUGAAUCUGUUUUUUCAGUUCUUGCCAUGAAAGGUUGAUGGGUUAAUUGAAGGAGAAAAUCCUAAAUUUUGAGAGGAAAUAAAUGGAAGCACUAAGAACCUUCCAGAAUC